rnacentral:rRNA from 1 species
GACGAACGCUGGCGGCGUGCUUAACACAUGCAAGUCGAGCGGUAAGGCCCUUUCGGGGGUACACGAGCGGCGAACGGGUGAGUAACACGUGGGUGACCUGCCCUCAGCUCUGGGAUAAGCCUGGGAAACUGGGUCUAAUACCGGAUAUGACCUUUCCUCGCAUGGGGUUUGGUGGAAAGUCCUGGGCUUGAUUGUCUGGGUUCGGCUGGGGAUGGGCCCGCGGCCUAUCAGCUUGUUGGUGGGGUGAUGGCCUACCAAGGCGACGACGGGUAGCCGGCCUGAGAGGGCGACCGGCCACACUGGGACUGAGACACGGCCCAGACUCCUACGGGAGGCAGCAGUGGGGAAUAUUGCGCAAUGGGCGGAAGCCUGACGCAGCGACGCCGCGUGGGGA